rnacentral:rRNA from 1 species
CCUACGGGUGGCAGCAGUGGGGAAUUUUGCGCAAUGCUCGUAAGAGUGACGCAGCGACGCCGCGUGAAUGACGAAGGCCUUCUGGUCUUAAAGUUCUUUCGACAGGGAAGAAAAUGCAUAUAAGUAACUGUGUAUGUAUUGACGGUACCUGUAUAAGCAGCCCCGGCUAACUCCGUGCCAGCAGCCGCGGUAAUACGGAGGGGGCGAGCGUUGUUCGGAGUGACUGGGCGUAAAGAGCACGUAGGCGGUGCUGUAAGUCAUUAGUCAAAGACUAGAGCUCAACUUUAGUAAGGCUAGUGAUACUAUAAUACUAGAGUAUAAGAGAGGAUUGCAGAAUGUCUGGUGUAGCGGUGAAAUGCGUAGAGAUCA